UACGUAGGGGGCAAGCGUUGUCCGGAAUCAUUGGGCGUAAAGAGCGCGUAGGCGGCCCUGUAAGUCCGCUGUGAAAGUCAAGGGCUCAACCCUUGAAUGCCGGUGGAUACUGCAGGGCUAGAGUCCGGAAGAGGCGAGUGGAAUUCCUGGUGUAGCGGUGGAAUGCGCAGAUAUCAGGAGGAACACCAACGGCGAAGGCAGCUCGCUGGGACGGUACUGACACUGAGGCGCGAAAGCGUGGGGAGCAAACAGG
rnacentral:rRNA from 1 species